rnacentral:rRNA from 1 species
UACGUAGGGGGCUAGCGUUGUCCGGAAUCAUUGGGCGUAAAGAGCGUGUAGGCGGUCCGGUAAGUCCGCUGUGAAAGUCGGGGGCUCAACCCUCGAAUGCCGGUGGAUACUGUCGGGCUAGAGUGCGGAAGAGGCGAGUGGAAUUCCUGGUGUAGCGGUGGAAUGCGCAGAUAUCAGGAAGAACACCAACGGCGAAGGCAGCUCGCUAGGACGGUACUGACGCUGAGACGCGAAAGCGUGGGGAGCGAACAGG